UACGGAGGGUGCGAGCGUUGUCCGGAAUCACUGGGCGUAAAGGGCGCGUAGGCGGCAGGCCAAGCGUGCGGUGAAAGUCCGGGGCUCAACCCCGGAUCUGCCGUGCGGACUGGUUUGCUAGAGCACUGUAGAGGCGAGUGGAAUUCCGGGUGUAGCGGUGGAAUGCGUAGAGAUCCGGAAGAACACCGGUGGCGAAGGCGGCUCGCUGGGCAGUGGCUGACGCUGAGGCGCGACAGCGUGGGGAGCGAACGGG
rnacentral:rRNA from 1 species